rnacentral:lncRNA from 1 species
GGAGAAGAGAAGGGUCAGACAAGAUGGAGGAGAGCAGAGCAGAAGCAAGCUUCUUAGUUGACUCAAGUUGACAAUCAAGACCAGCCAUCCCAUUGGGGCACUGGAAUGUAUUACAACAGUGCCUCUAUAUUCCCAAGCAUCUUCCCACACCUUCAUGGAGGAACACACUGAGAUUUCUGACAAGCCACCGGAGUUCAAUCUGUCUGACAUGGUCGGAGGAACUCAGCUACCAACAUGGUCAUAUCAGAAAGGAGAGAUUUAACCAGAGGGAUGUAGCAAGGUGCUCUGUGUCCAGAGGUCCUUUCAUUGUCAUGAGUUUGUUAAAGCAUGAUAUAAGCCUACAGUGAUGGUCCAAGAUCUGCCAAUGGAUACCAGGAGCAUAUGUGUGGGAUGUUGAAGGAGAUGGCCACAAUGGCGUAGUGCAUUGCUAAGAGAAUCAAGACUAUGACACACAUUUCCUGCUGCUUCAUCUGCAAGAUUCGAUGCUAGGCAAUCAGACACAGCUGAAAAUGGACAACACUCCCUUGAUUCCCCGUGUGUAUAUGACUUGUACUCAUAAUGUGUUUAGUCAUCCCUGGCUCAUCAUUUAACAGUCAAAAGCCACAUCAUACAAGGUUCAUGCAUAUGUUUUCCACUACACCUUUUCUUAUGCUUAGUAAAAGCCAACUUAUAAGUGGAUUAAUGUC